UCACAUGAUGAGACAAUUACGGCACAAAGACAAGCAUAUGUCCAAGCUAGCCUCGCUAGUGAAGACGAGAAUGUCAACCUUCCUGACUUUCCUGACUAUCCGUUUUCGAAGCAACACAAGUCGAAAGUGCAUAGUGAUGGCGGCUAACGUGUGUUAC
rnacentral:snoRNA from 1 species